AACACCCGACUUCGGAAAGGGGUGUAUUNAUUAGAUGGAAACCACUGCGGGCAACCGGAUACUGGUGAUUCUUAAUAACUUUCGGAUCGAGUAGUCGAUGCAUCAUUCAAGUUUCUGCCCUAUCAGNUUUGGAUGGNAGGGUAUUGGCCUANCNUGGUUUUACGGGCAACGGNGAAUUAGGNCUCNAUUCCGGAGAGGGAG
rnacentral:rRNA from 1 species